rnacentral:misc_RNA from 1 species
GAUGAAGAACGCAGCGAAAUGCGAUAAGUAAUGUGAAUUGCAGAAUUCAGUGAAUCAUCGAAUCUUUGAACGCACAUUGCGCCCGCCAGUAUUCUGGCGGGCAUGCCUGUCCGAGCGUCAUUUCAACCCUCGAACCCCUCCGGGGGGACGGCGUUGGGGAUCGGCCCUGCCUCUUGGCGGUGGCCGUCUCCGAAAUACAGUGGCGGUCUCGCCGCAGCCUCUCCUGCGCAGUAGUUUGCACACUCGCAUCGGGAGCGCGGCGCGUCCACAGCCGUUAAACACCCAACUUCUGAAAUGUUGACCUCGGAUCAGGUAGGAAUACCCGCUGAACUUAAGCAUAUCAAUAAGCGGAGGA